rnacentral:rRNA from 1 species
UAACAAGGAUUCCCCUAGUAACGGCGAGUGAAGAGGGAAGAGCCCAAGAUUGAAAGCUGGCGUCUUCGGCGUCCGCAUUGUAAUCUCAAGAAGUGUUUUCCGCUUCGGACCAAGCCUAAGUCCCUUGGAAAAGGGCAUCAUAGAGGGUGAUAAUCCCGUACAUGGCUUGGAGCGCCCGAAGCUUUGUGAUACGCUUUCUAAGAGUCGAGUUGUUUGGGAAUGCAGCUCAAAAUGGGUGGUAAAUUCCAUCUAAGGCUAAAUAUUGGGGAGAGACCGAUAGCGAACAAGUACAGUGAUGGAAAGAUGAAAAGAACUUUGAAAAGAGAGUUAAACAGUACGUGAAAUUGCCAAAAGGGAAGGGUAGGAGGUCAGAGAUGCGGCCUGGGAUUCAGCCUUGCUUUUGCUUGGUGUUUUUCCCAGAUUGCAGGCCAACGUCGGUUUUGGGCACUGGAGAAGGGUAGGAGGAACGUGGCACCUCUCGGGGUGUGUUAUAGCCUCCUACUGGAUACAGCGACCGAGACCGAGGACAGCAGCGUACUCGCAAGAGCGGGCCUUCGGGCACCUUUACGCUUAGGGCGUU